rnacentral:rRNA from 1 species
UGGGGAAUAUUGCGCAAUGGGCGAAAGCCUGAACGAGCAAUGCCGCGUGAACGAGGAAGGUCUUCGGAUCGUAAAGUUCUGUUGAAGGGGAAAAAGAGCGGAGAGAGGAAAUGCUUUCUGAUUGAUAUUACCCUUCGAGGAAGUCACGGCUAACUACGUGCC